UGGGGAAUAUUGGACAAUGGGGGGAACCCUGAUCCAGCCAUGCCGCGUGUGUGAAGAAGGCCUUAUGGUUGUAAAGCACUUUAAGCGAGGAGGAGGGUACUGGUAUUAAUACUACCAGGUACUGGACGUUACUCGCAGAAUAAGCACCGGCUAACUCUGUGCCAGCAGCCGCGGUAAUACAGAGGGUGCGAGCGUUAAUCGGAUUUACUGGGCGUAAAGCGUGCGUAGGCGGCUAAUUGAGUCGGAUGUGAAAUGCCCGAGCUUAACUUGGGAAUUGCAUUCGAUACUGGUUAGCUAGAGUGUGGGAGAGGAUGGUAGAAUUCCAGGUGUAGCGGUGAAAUGCGUAGAGAUCUGGAGGAAUACCGAUGGCGAAGGCAGCCAUCUGGCCUAACACUGACGCUGAGGUACGAAAGCAUGGGGAGCAAACAGG
rnacentral:rRNA from 1 species